AAAAAGCUGGAGGUGUUUUGUGCUGCAGGUAUAGAAACUCCUUGGCCAAACGAAGAGUCCUUGAGUCAACAGUCAACAUUGAAGACGACGGAGAUGAGCCUGCUGACGAAGAGAACGAUAACUAUAAUAAUAAUGCAAAGUACUGGCUCAAAUGCAAUGUUGCCCCAUUGAAUAUAGUCAAGGAACAUUGGGAACACACCUUCUCAGAAAGAAAAUUGUCGAUUCAAACUGGAAGCAAGAACUUAAACGCAAUUCUUGAAGAAUGGCCAAUUUUAAGACAGAGUUUUGGACAUGAAUUGAUAAGUCGAGAUUUUGAGCUUAAGUAUCCAGAGACUAUCAUCGAUUUGGAAACUCAAUGGUCAACAUUUCGAUCAAAGUUCCUUCAACUAUCGCAAGAAAGAGUGAAGAAAAAUUACAGCCUGGAAAUACUGAAGAAAUUAAAAACGGAUUCAGCAGACGACGGUAAAGUUUCCUACUCUGCUAGGUCUACCAUAUUUAUAAGUCCCUGCUUCCAGAUCGGAUAUGGAACACAUAAAAUAUUUAAUCUUAAGAAUAUAACUAACCCGCCUAUUCAUAUACAUGCUCUUAAAGAUAAAAACUAUGUUAAGCCAAAACAAUUUUAAUUAGUUAUAACUGAAAAUGAAGUACAUUGAAAUAAAUAAAAGAC